rnacentral:rRNA from 1 species
AAACCAGCACCUCAAGUGGUCAGGAUGAUUAUUGGGCCUAAAGCAUCCGUAGCCGGCUCAGUAAGUUUUCGGUUAAAUCUGUACGCUCAACGUACAGGCUGCCGGGAAUACUGCAGAGCUAGGGAGUGGGAGAGGUAGACGGUACUCGGGAGGAAGUGGUAAAAUGCUUUGAUCUUUCGAUGACCACCUGUGGCGAAGGCGGUCUACCAGAACACGUCCGACGGUGAGGGAUGAAAGCUGGGGGAGCAAACCGGAUUAGAAACCCGAGUAGUCC